GGGCACAUGGUGUAGAUGGUUAUCACAUCCGCUUAGCAUCUGGUGCUUUGCGUAGGUUGAUUUGCGGGGGGUGCUGGGUUCAAUUCCCAGUGUGUCCA